GUUUAAACCACCGCCACCGCCGGUUGACAUCAUGUCCGCCGUUUCACGUUCAACCUCCAAACCAGACACCGUUCGCUCGCCGCUCACCGCCGUUCAUCAGUCUAAUUCCCGGGCCUUCACCCUUGCCCCGACUGACUGGUGUACAUGAACGGCCUGACAGUCUUGCUCCGUCUAACCUGACAGCCUCGCUCCCAUAAGGUGCUGGAAUGCAACUUUGUCAUGCACUCAGAAGUUCGCUUCCUUCGGGUGAUUAAGGAUCGCCAAUACCAGCUCGACAUUGUGCUGGCCGGCCACCGAGGAGCUGGUGACAACGACGAAGCUGUUGCUUUGGGAGGCCACGUUGGCAGGGAUAAAGUCAUCGAUCGCAUAAUGCAAAGAUAUUGGUGGAGCAACGUUACAUCUGAUGUAGUUGAAACCAUCAAAACUUGCUCACGGUGCCAAAAAGCCAGCACUGUGUUCAAGAAAGUGGACCCGAAACUGCGCAGUAUCCCAAGUCCUCCAACGGUCAUGUCGCCAUUGUGAUAGCCGUUUGUUAUUUUUCCAAGUGGAUUGAGGCUCGCCCUUUAAAAUCGAAGGAAGCUGUAGAAGUGGCUCGGUUCCUGUACGAGGACAUUAUCUGUCGUCAUGGAUGUGUUGCCAUACAGAUCAAUGACCAGGGCAGAGAAUUUGUGAACUCAGUCUCAGCAGAGCUCCACACGCUCACUGGAACAACGCAAAGAAUCACACCUGCUUAUCAUCCUCAAGAAAGUAUUCAUCGUAAUAUUAUAAUGAUUAUAUUUGUUUGUUUGGGCUUAUUCUUUCCUCUGUUUGAAAGCAAUGCCACUAUUUUGUCAUUUUUUUUAUCUUGUUGAAAAAAUACCAAUAUAUUUUUCCAACAAAAAAAUUACCGAUUUGUUCAUUUCAGGCCAAUGGAUUAGUCGAGCGCAGCAACAGAACAGUUCAAACUCUUCUCCUUCGAACUCCGAGUGAUCGACAUGAAAACUGGGACAAAUGUUUGCACGGCGUCUGCGAGUUCUUGUCGAAACGUCUGUGUGUACUGUUAUUAGUUUUUUAAUUGCAUUGUUUCUUUUUUUAGAUCUACAGUCCAGGCCUCCACGAGGUUUUUACCAUUCAAGAUGUUACAUGGCCGAGAACCUGUCCUUCCCAUCGAUGUGGACCACGAGUUCGCUGACUGCACCUCCGAUCCUGACGAUCCUAAAUUUGAGGAGUCUGACUUCCCUGCUACACUCUCAAAGCUCGAAAUAUUACAGGAUGUUGUUUUCAAGACAGCUGAUGCCAACAUUGAGCGAGCUCAGGCAAAACAGCAAGCUGAUCUUGCAAAGAGGCGAUACAAACAAAAGAAUUUCAUCGUGGGUGACAAGGUGUUGCGUUACAACCUCCGCAGAGCCGAUAGAAAAGGAGGCAAGCAAACCGAUCCAUGGGGUGGUCCGUACGAGGUGGCUCAAGUUUGCGAGAAGGGGCUGUACUGUCUCAUUAAUUCAUCCACGAAAGUCACCCUCAAGACGAAAGUGAACGGAUGCAACCUGAAGUCCUUCUUCGAACGCACUCCAGAAACUUUACCAACGACUCCCUCAGUUACGUCAUCUCCGCCAUCUCCAGGAGUCCAAAUAGUCGGGGUUCAGCAAGAGAAGAUUACUUACAAGUUCUCUCCAUUGACGGUUGCAACGCAGCGAGCAAUCUGCAACAACUCUGGUGGUCGUCUGGUAUUCAAGAAAAUAUCAGAUCCAUCCGGAAAAAAAUAAGACCAUCAAAAACACCAACGAACCUCUUGCCGUUAAAGUAAUUGAAGGUGACGGAAAUUGUCUUUUCCGUGCAUUCUCAUAUGCCAUCACUGGAGAAGAGGACCAACACGACGUUGUCAGAAGCUUGAUCUGUGAUUUCAUUGCCAGCAAUGAAAACAUCAAAGUUGAAUCAAUGCGUCAGAAUAAAGUGUGGGGAACAACAACAGAGAUGUUAGCAGCAGCCAACAUGUUCCAUGUGAAUGUAUGUGUGUGGGCAAAGUUCGGUUCUAUGCACACAUGGCAUAUACAUAGGCCGAAAUGCAGAGAAGUAGUAAAUGAGUCAGUGUACCUCGACAAUAAAGCAGGCAACCAUUUUAAUGUAGUUAUUCGUGUGUAAUGUGCACAUGAUUAGUGGUUAGUUUUUGGAUGGGAUACAACAUUAAUGUAUUGUAGUAUGAAUACUGAUUAGUUUUUGCAUGGGAGUCAACAUCAAUAAAUCUUUUUCAUCCAAUAAUGUGUCAUUUCAAC